UACGGGGGGAGCAAGCGUUGUUCGGAUUUACUGGGCGUAAAGGGCGCGUAGGCGGCCACCGCAAGUCGACUGUGAAAUCUCCGGGCUUAACCCGGAACGGUCAGCCGAUACUGCGGGGCUAGAGUGCAGAAGGGGCAACUGGAAUUCUCGGUGUAGCGGUGAAAUGCGUAGAUAUCGAGAGGAACACCUGCGGCGAAGGCGGGUUGCUGGGCUGACACUGACGCUGAGGCGCGAGAGCGUGGGGAGCAAACCGG
rnacentral:rRNA from 1 species